GAGGGUAUAGCUUCAUGGUAGAGUGCGUGCCUAGCAUGCAUGAGGUUGUGGGUUCAAUACCUGGUACCUCCA
rnacentral:tRNA from 1 species